CCUACGGGAGGCAGCAGUGAGGAAUAUUGGUCAAUGGGCGCGAGCCUGAACCAGCCAAGUAGCGUGAAGGAUGACUGCCCUACGGGUUGUAAACUUCUUUUAUAAAGGAAUACAGUGGAGCACAUGUGCCUUUUUGUAUGUACUUUAUGAAUAAGGAUCGGCUAACUCCGUGCCAGCAGCCGCGGUAAUACGGAGGAUCCGAGCGUUAUCCGGAUUUGUUGGGUUUAAAGGGAGCGUAGUUGGGUUGUUAAGUCAGUUGUGAAAGUUUGCGGCUCAACCGUAAAAUUGCAAUUGAUACUGGCAGCCUUGAGUACAGUGGAGGUAGGCGGAAUUCGUGGUGUAGCGGUGAAAUGCUUAGAUAUCACGAAGAACUCCGAUGGCGAAGGCAGCUUACUAAACGGCCACUGACAUUGAUGCUCGAAAGUGUGGGUAUCAAACAGGAUUAGAUACCCGAGUAGUC
rnacentral:rRNA from 1 species